AUCACUCUGGCUGUGCACUAUCCGCUUCUCCUUUGACCACGGAUGUACUGGCACUGAGAUGAGGCGGAUAACGGAAGGCCGGUUUGCCCCGGCCUUUUUGUUU
rfam:Rhizobium sp. CF142 PMI11_contig_16.16, whole genome shotgun sequence.